rnacentral:lncRNA from 10 species
UGCUUAUAGCAGACCACUAUCCACUGGAAGACGUCUGGGCCACUGCCAAGUCCCCAAAUAGUGGGAACAGCACGAACAUCGGCAUGAAGGCAAGAAAAUAGGAGGCAUGUACUGGGGAGAGCAAAUAGUUCAGUUGGAGAAAGGGCACAUGAGGAGCAGUAGCAGCAAAUAAGAAUGACCAGGAGUUUGGGAUCAGACACGUGGGACCAUGAGUACCAGGUCAAAAGUUCAAACUUUAUUUGAUGAUGAAGCAACAUUAAACACUAAAGGUCAAGUUUCAGGAAUGUAACUAAUUCAGAAGAAACACAAUGACACAUAAAAAAAGAAAUAGAGCCAAACACAAAAAUUAGCAAAAUAUGAAUGCUUCACCUC